GUGUUCUCUUAGGCAGCAUAUAUGCUAAAAUUGGAACAAUACAGAGAAGAUUAGCAUUGCCCCUCAGCAAAGAUGACACCCAAAGUUGUGAAGCAUUCCAUAUUAGA